UACAGAGGUCCCGAGCGUUGUUCGGAUUCAUUGGGCGUAAAGGGUGCGUAGGCGGCGGGGCAAGUCUGAUGUGAAAUCCCGGGGCUCAACCCCGGAACUGCAUUGGAUACUGCCUUGCUUGAGUACUGGAGAGGAGACUGGAAUUUACGGUGUAGCAGCGAAAUGCGUAGAUAUCGUAAGGAAGACCAGUGGCGAAGGCGAGUCUCUGGACAGUUACUGACGCUGAGGCACGAAGGCCAGGGGAGCAAACGGG
rnacentral:rRNA from 1 species